CUCUGGUCUACAUGGCUGAUUUCUAUUUCUCGUUCCAGAUCCAUCUCAGCUGUUGCACUGUCAAUGAAGUCUUCCCUGGCCUCAAGUAAAUUUAGGCUAGAUUUCCCCUUUGUCUUGAACUCUAUUGUUGCAUUGACCCUUCUGUAUCUUAACUUUUUUUUUUUUUUAAUUCCUCUCCUCAAUAACAUGAGAUGCCAGGGUGUUGGAAGCCUGUCAUCUUAUCUGAGCACCUGCCAUGCCCAGCACAGUGCUUCAAGACCGACUUUCCGACAGACCGCCAGCUCUCAACUUCAACUGGGCAUGAAGACUUAUUCAAACUCCAGAGAAGGUGCAAAAUUAUGGAAAAACUCAAUGUAAAGGACACCAAGUCAGAUUGCUCAAUCCCAAGACAAAGAACUCGUGGAUCAUGGGCUAGAAAAAAGGGUUAAAGGAUUAGAAUGAAUUCAAGAAAGAACGAUCUGGUUGCCACUUGGAGAAGGACACAGGAGCUGAACCCAAUGGUGCUGUGGAGCCUGGGGAGGAAAUUGUGAGUACUUGCUCUUGAUUGAGUAUCAUUAUCCUCCUGUUGUCUAGGAAGAUGAUUGUUAUAAUUAGCGAC
rnacentral:lncRNA from 1 species